rnacentral:rRNA from 1 species
UACGUAGGGCGCAAGCGUUGUCCGGAAUUAUUGGGCGUAAAGAGCUCGUAGGCGGUCUGUCGCGUCGGAUGUGAAAGCCCGGGGCUUAACCCCGGGUCUGCAUUCGAUACGGGCAGACUAGAGUGUGGUAGGGGAGAUCGGAAUUCCUGGUGUAGCGGUGAAAUGCGCAGAUAUCAGGAGGAACACCAGCGGCGAAGGCGGCGCUCUGGGCCGGAACUGACGCUGAGGAGCGAAAGCGUGGGGAGCAAACAGG